AGGCACAGCGGAGAGACAAUGGGACGUCGCGCAUGUAGGAGAGUGCGCCGGACUGGAGACAGCACUUGGCAGGUGGAUGUGUAUGUGCCACGCCGGACACCUGCACUAACUAGGAGGUGUGUGUGUUCCUCGUGCAGACGCCACGACCAUCAUGUGCCGCGACCUUCAUCUGUGGAGGAAUGUUUGGAAGUAACUAUUACGCGGUGUAUUAAAAAGAGGGAAGCAG